rnacentral:rRNA from 1 species
UUCUUAUUGAAUUUUUAUAAUAAGUCACGCCUGCUCAAUGAACUUUAAAUAGCCGCGGAAAUUUAACCGUGCUAAGGUAGCAUAAUCAUUAGCCCCCUAAUUAGGGGCUUGUAUGAACGGCGAAACAUUUAAGCAUCUUUUUUUUUUAAACUUUUUUAAGUUAAAUUAAGAAUUAAAAUGUUCUUAUUAUUAAAAUAGACGAUAAGACCCUAUUGAACUUUACUUUAGUUUAGCUGGGGCAGCUAAAAAAUUAUAAUCUUUUUAGUAAUUUUUUUCUAUAAAUGACCCAAUAAGAUUGAUUACCUGAAUUAAGUUACCAUAGGGAUAACAGCGUAAUAACUUUUUAAAGCUCUUAUUUAAAAAGAAGCUUGCGACCUCGAUGUUGAAUUAAUGAAACUUUACAUAAUGCAGUAAUUUUARAAGUAAGUCUGUUCGACUUUUAAUCCAUUACAU